rnacentral:rRNA from 1 species
CAGUAGCCACGGUAAUACAGAGGAUGCAAGCGUUAUCCGGAAUGAUUGGGCGUAAAGCGUCUGUAGGUGGCUUUUCAAGUCCGCCGUCAAAUCCCAGGGCUCAACCCUGGACAGGCGGUGGAAACUACCAAGCUGGAGUACGGUAGGGGCAGAGGGAAUUUCCGGUGGAGCGGUGAAAUGCGCUGAGAUCGGAAAGAACACCGACGGCGAAAGCACUCUGCUGGGCCGACACUGACACUGAGAGACGAAAGCUAGGGGAGCAAAUGGGAUUAGAUACCCCCGUAGUCCCUGUCUCUUAUAC